rnacentral:tRNA from 1 species
AGGGAUGUGGUGCAUUGGUAAGACACCGCACAUCGUGCGCAUCCAUAAGAGGCGCUAGCGUGUAAAAAGCUCUUAUGAAAGAUGGUUGCCGGUUCGAAUCCGGCCAUUCCUA